UACAGAGGUCCCGAGCGUUGUUCGGAUUCACUGGGCGUAAAGGGUGCGUAGGUGGUGAGGUAAGUCGGAUGUGAAAUCUCCAAGCUCAACUUGGAAAUGGCAUUGGAAACUACCUUGCUGGAGGUUUGGAGGGGGACUGGAAUUCUCGGUGUAGCAGUGAAAUGGCGUAGAUAUCGAGAGGAACACCAGUGGCGAAAGCGGCUUCCUGGUCCAGCACCGACGUUCAGGCACGAAAGCGUGGGGAGCAAACAGG
rnacentral:rRNA from 1 species